rnacentral:rRNA from 1 species
GAGGAAUAUUGGUCAAUGGACGCAAGUCUGAACCAGCCAUGCCGCGUGCAGGAUGACGGCCCUAUGGGUUGUAAACUGCUUUUAUUCGGGAAGAAACCUUUGCUCGUGAGCGAAGCUGACGGUACUGAAUGAAUAAGCAUCGGCUAACUCCGUGCCAGCAGCCGCGGUAAUACGGAGGAUGCAAGCGUUAUCCGGAUUUAUUGGGUUUAAAGGGUGCGUAGGCGGAAAAAUAAGUCAGUGGUGAAAGCCUGCAGCUCAACUGUAGAAUUGCCAUUGAUACUGUCUUUCUUGAGUACAUUUGAAGUGGGCGGAAUGUGUUGUGUAGCGGUGAAAUGCAUAGAUAUGACACAGAACACCAAUUGCGAAAGCAGCUCACUAAGUUGUCACUGACGCUGAGGCACGAAAGCGUGGGUAGCAAAC